AGACCCUGCUCCGUCUGGACUCCUCCUCCCCCCCUGCGGGGGAGGGCCUGCUCUGAGCUUCACCCACCACCCCUCCCCAGGCCCCCACACGCACCUUCUCUUCUGUUGUCCCCCAGAUCUAGCCAGCCUGGGGCUCGUGGGGCUUGUGGGCAGCCUGAGGAUCUGGGGCAAGGAAUGGGACAGUGAGCAGUGGAGGGAGAGGCUGGCAGACUCAGCCGGGGUGCUUAGGAGUGGCCGGCUCACCUCAGGGCCUCUGGGAGCCAGCCCGGGUCAGGACGAGCGCCAGGGGAAGUCGGAGGCCUCGAGGAGCCCAAGUUCGAGGGAGACAAGUCUUUCCCUUUGGGGAGCUACCAGUACAAUGGGUGCUGAGGCUCCUAGGUCUCCCCCACCCCAGGAAGGAAGGGGCUGACCUCGAUUCCACACCCACUUGCUCACGCGAGCCCUCUCGCAGCCGUCUUCUCUGUCAAUCUGCUGCCAGGCCUGGAGUGGUUCUGUCCCCCACUUGGCAAAGCUGCAGUCAGGGCCCCACGAAGGAUGUGUGGGUCACCCCGCGUCACGGGGCUGACCGAAAAGAAGGACUUAUUGCACCCAGCUGGCAUGGGUUCCCUCUGAGAAGCCCUCCUGGAUUGAUCGAAGUGGCAAGACCCCAGCUCCAGCCUGGGCUGCCCGUUACACCCGGAGCCACCCGGGAGAGGACUUCGUCCCACCCUUGCUCCCGUGGCCACCGCUGUCCACCCUGGCCCAUCCCAGUUCCUGUGGCGUCCGAGCUGAGAGUCCUCUGAGAUGGCGGUCCCGUCUCAGAUCUA